rnacentral:rRNA from 1 species
UACGAAGGGGGCUAGCGUUGCUCGGAAUUACUGGGCGUAAAGCGUGCGCAGGCGGUUUUGUAAGUCCGAUGUGAAAUCCCCGGGCUUAACCUGGGAACUGCGUUUGAAACUACAAGGCUAGAGUGUGGCAGAGGGGGGUGGAAUUCCACGUGUAGCAGUGAAAUGCGUAGAGAUGUGGAGGAACACCGAUGGCGAAGGCAGCCCCCUGGGUUAACACUGACGCUCAGGCACGAAAGCGUGGGGAGCAAACAGG